rnacentral:lncRNA from 1 species
CUCUGAAGGGAGCUACUCAGAAGCGGGAGUCUCCGAGAGAAGAAAAGCAGGUGGAAGGAGAGGAAGCGGAUGCCGUGGGGUUUACAGCAGGAAAAUCCGUGGAGACAGCAGAUCCGAGAAGCGGCGAUGUUUGCGUAGAACCCUGUACGUGCUUCCUUCGGCCUGUCGCUCUUCCCUUCUCUCUGACCAGCACCAUGCUUCUCCUGGUGACAAGCCUUCUGCUCUGUGAGUUACCACACCCAGCAUUCCUCCUGAUCCCAGAGAAAUCGGAUCUGCGAACAGUGGCACCAGCCUCUAGUCUCAAUGUGAGGUUUGACUCCAGGACGAUGAAUUUAAGCUGGGACUGCCAAGAAAACACAACCUUCAGCAAGUGUUUCUUAACUGACAAGAAGAACAGAGUCGUGGAACCCAGGCUCAGUAACAACGAAUGUUCGUGCACAUUUCGUGAAAUUUGUCUGCAUGAAGGAGUCACAUUUGAGGUUCACGUGAAUACUAGUCAAAGAGGAUUUCAACAGAAACUGCUUUAUCCAAAUUCAGGAAGGGAGGGUACCGCUGCUCAGAAUUUCUCCUGUUUCAUCUACAAUGCGGAUUUAAUGAACUGUACCUGGGCGAGGGGUCCGACGGCCCCCCGUGACGUCCAGUAUUUUUUGUACAUACGAAACUCAAAGAGAAGGAGGGAGAUCCGGUGUCCUUAUUACAUACAAGACUCAGGAACCCAUGUGGGAUGUCACCUGGAUAACCUGUCAGGAUUAACGUCUCGCAAUUACUUUCUGGUUAACGGAACCAGCCGAGAAAUUGGCAUCCAAUUCUUUGAUUCACUUUUGGACACAAAGAAAAUAGAACGAUUCAACCCUCCCAGCAAUGUCACCGUACGUUGCAACACGACGCACUGCCUCGUACGGUGGAAACAGCCCAGGACCUAUCAGAAGCUGUCGUACCUGGACUUUCAGUACCAGCUGGACGUCCACAGAAAGAAUACCCAGCCUGGCACGGAAAACCUACUGGUUCUGACGACGGGAACCUCGGCUCUGUGUACAUUUAUGUGCUCCUAAUCGUGGGAACCCUUGUCUGUGGCAUCGUCCUCGGCUUCCUCUUUAAAAGGUUCCUUAGGAUACAGCGGCUGUUCCCGCCAGUUCCACAGAUCAAAGACAAACUGAAUGAUAACCAUGAGGUGGAAGACGAGAUCAUCUGGGAGGAAUUCACCCCAGAGGAAGGGAAAGGCUACCGCGAAGAGGUCUUGACCGUGAAGGAAAUUACCUGAGACCCAGAGGGUGUAGGAAUGGCAUGGACAUCUCCGCCUCCGCGACACGGGGGAACUGUUUUCUUGAUGAUGCUGUGAACCUUUAUAUCAUUUUCUAUGUUUUUAUUUAAAAACAUGACAUUUGGGGCCAGGCGCGGUGGCUCACGCCUGUAAUCCCAGCACUUUGGGAGGCCAAGGCAGGCGGAUCACCUGAGGUCAGGAGUUCAAGACCAGCCUGCCCAACAUGGUGAAACCCCAUCUGGACUAAAAAUGCAGAAAUUUACCCAGGCACGGCGGCGGACGCCCAUCAUCCCAGCUACUUGGGAGGCUGAGGCAGGAGAAUUGCUUGAACCCGUGAGGCGGAGGUUGUAGUGAGCCAAGAUCGCACCAUUGCACACCAACCUGCGUGACAGAGCAAGAUUGCAUCUCAAAACAAACAAUAAUAAUAAAUAAUAAAAACCUGAUAUUUGGCUGGGC